AACGAACGCUGGCGGCAUGCCUAACACAUGCAAGUCGAACGAGACCUUCGGGUCUAGUGGCGCACGGGUGCGUAAAGCGUGGGAACCUGCCCUUAGGUUCGGAAUUACACCCCUAAAGGGGUGCUAAUAUCGGAAAAUGUCUUCGGAUAAAAGAUUUAUCGCCUUUGGAUGGGCGCGCGUUGGAUUAGCUAGUUGGUAGGGUAAAAGCCUACCAAGGCGACGAUCCAUAGCUGGUCUGAGAGGAUGAUCAGCCACACUGAGACUGAGACACGGCCCAGACUCCUACGGGAGGCAGCAGAGGGGAAUACUGGACUAUGGGGUAAAGGCAGAUGCAGCUAUGCCUCGUGAGUGAUGAAGUCCUGAGAGUUGUAAAGCUCUUUUACCCGGGAUGGUAAUGACAGUACCGGGAGAAUAAGCUCCGGCUAACUCCGUG
rnacentral:rRNA from 1 species